rnacentral:tRNA from 1 species
GAAGAAAGAAGAAUCAACUUAAAGCCGCUAACUUUUAAGUUAAGCGGUUCAAUUCCGUUUUUUCUUCU